UACAGAGGGGGCAAGCGUUAUUCGGAAUUAUUGGGCGUAAAGGGCGCGUAGGCGGCUUGGCAAGUGGAUGGUGAAAUCCCUCGGCUUAACCGAGGAACUGCCGUCCAAACUGCUUCGCUUGAGACCGGGAGAGGUGAGUGGAAUUCCCAGUGUAGCGGUGAAAUGCGUAGAUAUUGGGAGGAACACCAGUGGCGAAGGCGGCUCACUGGCCCGGUACUGACGCUGAGGCACGAAAGCGUGGGGAGCAAACAGG
rnacentral:rRNA from 1 species